AGAGUUUGAUCCUGGCUCAGGACGAACGCUGGCGGCGCGCCUAACACAUGCAAGUCGAACGAGCGAGAGGAGGUUUACUUUCUCAAGCGAGUGGCGAACGGGUGAGUAACGCGUGAGGAACCUGCCUCAAAGAGGGGGACAACAGUUGGAAACGACUGCUAAUACCGCAUAAGCCCACGACCCGGCAUCGGGUAGAGGGAAAAGGAGCAAUCCGCUUUGAGAUGGCCUCGCGUCCGAUUAGCUAGUUGGUGAGGUAAUGGCCCACCAAGGCGACGAUCGGUAGCCGGACUGAGAGGUUGAACGGCCACAUUGGGACUGAGACACGGCCCAGACUCCUACGGGAGGCAGCAGUAGGGAAUCUUCGGCAAUGGGGGCAACCCUGACCGAGCAACGCCGCGUGAGUGAAGAAGGUUUUCGGAUCGUAAAGCUCUGUUGUAAGUCAAGAACGGGUGUGAGAGUGGAAAGUUCACACUGUGACGGUAGCUUACCAGAAAGGGACGGCUAACUACGUGCCAGCAGCCGCGGUAAUACGUAGGUCCCGAGCGUUGUCCGGAUUUAUUGGGCGUAAAGCGAGCGCAGGCGGUUUGAUAAGUCUGAAGUUAAAGGCUGUGGCUCAACCAUAGUUCGCUUUGGAAACUGUCAAACUUGAGUGCAGAAGGGGAGAGUGGAAUUCCAUGUGUAGCGGUGAAAUGCGUAGAUAUAUGGAGGAACACCGGUGGCGAAAGCGGCUCUCUGGUCUGUAACUGACGCUGAGGCUCGAAAGCGUGGGGAGCGAACAGGAUUAGAUACCCUGGUAGUCCACGCCGUAAACGAUGAGUGCUAGGUGUUGGAUCCUUUCCGGGAUUCAGUGCCGCAGCUAACGCAUUAAGCACUCCGCCUGGGGAGUACGACCGCAAGGUUGAAACUCAAAGGAAUUGACGGGGGCCCGCACAAGCGGUGGAGCAUGUGGUUUAAUUCGAAGCAACGCGAAGAACCUUACCAGGUCUUGACAUCCCGAUGCUAUUUCUAGAGAUAGAAAGUUACUUCGGUACAUCGGUGACAGGUGGUGCAUGGUUGUCGUCAGCUCGUGUCGUGAGAUGUUGGGUUAAGUCCCGCAACGAGCGCAACCCCUAUUGUUAGUUGCCAUCAUUCAGUUGGGCACUCUAGCGAGACUGCCGGUAAUAAACCGGAGGAAGGUGGGGAUGACGUCAAAUCAUCAUGCCCCUUAUGACCUGGGCUACACACGUGCUACAAUGGUUGGUACAACGAGUUGCGAGUCGGUGACGGCGAGCUAAUCUCUUAAAGCCAAUCUCAGUUCGGAUUGUAGGCUGCAACUCGCCUACAUGAAGUCGGAAUCGCUAGUAAUCGCGGAUCAGCACGCCGCGGUGAAUACGUUCCCGGGCCUUGCACACACCGCCCGUCA
rnacentral:rRNA from 1 species